GUAAGGAAUAUUGGUCAAUGGGGGCAACCCUGAACCAGCCAUGCCGCGUGAAGGAUGAAGGCGUUAUGCGUUGUAAACUUCUUUUGUAUGGGAAGAAUGACAGGGAUUCAUCCUUGGAGAGACGGUACCAUACGAAUAAGCACCGGCUAACUCCGUGCCAGCAGCCGCGGUAAUACGGAGGGUGCAAGCGUUAUCCGGAAUCACUGGGUUUAAAGGGUACGUAGGCGGUUAAUUAAGUCAGUAGUGAAAGACUGUCGCUCAACGACGGAUGUGCUAUUGAUACUGGUUAACUUGAAUCAGGUUAGAGUUGGCGGAAUGGGUCAUGUAGCGGUGAAAUGCUUAGAUAUGCUACGGAACACCGAUUGCGAAGGCAGCUUACUAUUUCAUGAUUGACGCUGAGGCACGAAAGCGUGGGUAGCGAACAGGAUUAGAUACCCGUGUAGUCC
rnacentral:rRNA from 1 species